rnacentral:ncRNA from 1 species
UACCGUUCACCGGGGAGUCGGAGAGUGAUCCGGCUGAGAGGGUGGCUUGCAGCAAACGUUGCCGUGCCACCGACCCGCCAACCUGCUCUGGGUCAUGCCAGCGAAGGGAGUUGCAAUGAUUGCUGA